rnacentral:rRNA from 1 species
GUAGUAUCAGCUAGUUGGUGAGGUAAUGGCUCACCAAGGCUAUGACGCUUAGGGGAGCUGAGAGGCUGACCCCCACCAUUGGAACUGCGACACGGUCCAAACACCUACGGGUGGCUGCAGUCGAGAAUCUUCCGCAAUGCACGAAAGUGUGACGGAGCGACGCCGCGUGAUGGAUGAAGCCCCUUGGGGUGUAAACAUCUUUUAUGUAUGAAGAAAUUAUUGACAUUAGUACAUGAAUAAGAGGCUCCUAACUCUGUGCCAGCAGGAGCGGUAAUACAGAGGCCUCGAGCGUUAUUCGGAAUUAUUGGGCGUAAAGGGUGCGUAGGUGGUUAUGUUAGUCGAAUGUCAAAGAUCCAGGCUUAACCUGGGGGCGGCAUUCGAAACGGCAUGACUCGAAUCGGUGAGAGGUAUGCAGAACUCAUGGAGUAGGGGUGAAAUCCGUUGAUAUCAUGGGGAAUACCAAAUGCGAAGGCAGCAUACUGGCACUGUAUUGACACUGAGGCACGAAAGCGUGGGUAGCGAAUGGGAUUAGAUACCCCAGUAGUCCACGCCCUAAACGAUCUUCACUAGCUUUUCGGAGUAUCGACCCUCUGAGAGGCGAAGCUAACGCGUUAAGUGAUCCGCCUGGGAAGUACGGCCGCAAGGCUAAAACUCAAAGGAAUAGACGGGGACUUGCACAAGCAGUGGAUUAUGUGGUUUAAUUCGAUGGUAAACGAAGAACCUUACCAGGGCUAGAAAUCAACGUGAAAUCUCUAGGAAACUAGAGCCCUCGCAAGACUAGUUGACAGGUGCUGCAUGGCCGUCGUCAGUUCGUGGUUUGAAUUGUACCCUUAAGUGGGCUAACGAACGCAACCCUCGUUGUGUGUUACAAGUGUCACACGAUACUGCCCCCGCCUAAGUUUUUAAUCUUUAUAGAUUGAAAUUUUAGGCGGGGGAGGAAGGAGAGGAUGACGCCAGGUCAGCAUGGCCCUUGAUGCCCUGGGCUACACACAUAAUACAAUGGCCAUUACAACGCGCAGCGACGAGGCGACUCUGAGCUAAUCGUCAAAAAUGGCCCCAGUU